UGGGGAAUAUUGGGCAAUGGGCGCAAGCCUGACCCAGCCAUGCCGCGUGAGUGACGAAGGCCUUAGGGUUGUAAAGCUCUUUUGGCGGGGACGAUAAUGACGGUACCCGCAGAAUAAGCCCCGGCUAACUUCGUGCCAGCAGCCGCGGUAAUACGAAGGGAGCUAGCGUUGUUCGGAAUCACUGGGCGUAAAGCGCACGUAGGCGGACUUUCAAGUCAGGGGUGAAAUCCCGGGGCUCAACCUCGGAACUGCCUUUGAUACUGUUGGUCUCGAGUCCGGAAGAGGUGGGUGGAAUUCCUAGUGUAGAGGUGAAAUUCGUAGAUAUUAGGAAGAACACCGGCGGCGAAGGCGGCCCACUGGUCCGGUACUGACGCUGAGGUGCGAAAGCGUGGGGAGCAAACA
rnacentral:rRNA from 1 species